CCUACGGGAGGCAGCAGUGGGGAAUAUUGCACAAUGGGGGAAACCCUGAUACAGCGACGCCGCGUGAGUGAAGACGUAAUUCGUUAUGUAAAGCCCUAUCAGCAGGGAAGAAAAUGACGGUACCUGAGUCAGAAGCCCCGGCUCACUACGAGCCCGCAGCCGCGGUACUACGUCGGGGGCAAGCGUUAUCCGGAUUUACUGGGGGUAAAGGGAGCGUAGGCGGGAGUGCAGGUCUGCAGUGAAAGGCGGGGGGUCAACCCCCGGACUGCCGUGGAAACUGUACGGCUGGAGUGCAGGAGAGGUAAGUGGAAUUCGUGGUGUAGCGGUGAAAUGCAUAGAUAUUAGGAGGAACACCAGUGGCGAAGGCAGCUUACUGGACUGUAACUGACGUUGAGGCACGAAAGCGUGGGGAGCGAACAGGAUUAGAUACCCGAGUAGUC
rnacentral:rRNA from 1 species